GGAUUGUAUCCUGACCUAUAUCCAUGACUGGGUAUAUUUCUAUUACAAAAUCCAAGCUGUAAUUCUUAUCUCGCCCACAAGGUACCUGCAAGCCAGUGACCUCAAUCCUGACCGACGACAGUCACCCACUCCCCACCGGAAUGGAAAAGGUCAUUUAGUCACCUCAGCCAGCAGUCCUCAGGAGAAUCCAACAUUCCAGCUCCACACAGUGUUCUCAGAGUUGAUGGCUUCUCUCAAAGUAACAGAAGAAAUGAGUACUACAACCUCAAGUCAAGCCCCAAUUUGCUUAUGACCCUGAGAGAACAGAACCAACCAGAGCAGAAUUUCCUCAGCUUUCUGCUGUCAUGUACACAACCAACUUGCAUCCCUUCAGUAUCCAGAAGCCAACCCUGCAGUUGCAAGCCUGUGUGGCUUUGUGCCUCUCCCUCCCUGGAGCCCUUGGCUGCUGAAGCUUGGCUUCCUGUGACACCAGGUUCCUCUCCUAGCAGAUCAUUCUCAUCAGCAUUCAGUUUUCGUUCUAUGCUUCUUUCUCCACUUCUGCUGAAGUAAGACCUCAGAAGUUGCGGCUCAUCCUCUUGAUUGACCAAGUCUGGAGUUGAUUACAGGACUUCAUCGCAGGCACAAUUACAGAGUGAGCCCCAGUGAACCAUCAUCACCUACUUUACAUUGCAAGUUUCAUUCUUUAGUGGUGUUCUGUGAACAUUUCAUCUUUCUCAUCAUAAGAUGUGUUUUCACUUGAUGUGAUCACUUCUCAGAGUGACACCUGGACACGCAUUUUCAGAGGACAUGCCAAGUCCAAGAACUUCAGUUUACACACACAUGCUCAAGAGAACCUUUGCUGAUGCAGGAACAUGCAAUGAUCUGUCUCACUCAGUGAGGUCACAUAGGGAAGUCUGUGGCCAGUUCCAUUGUCUUUCCUGGCAAUUUACUUUUGAAAGUGGUCUCUUUGUGUGGAAGUCCAUGAUGUGUGCUGUCACUGACUGUAAAGAGCAAGGAAGCCUCUUUUGCAGUGGUAUGGAUGACUGCAGACUCACAGUUGAGAAUGAGACAUAGAAGGUCUUGGAGACACCCCUCCUCGCCCUCCCCCCCUCCCCCAAAGAAACAGUCUAGACAGGAAGCCACUGAAGGGAACUCUUAAAAAUUGUGAUGGGGAUCCUGAAGUAUAGCUCUUCCCAGUUACAGCUUCUGGAGUGAGGGGGUGGGGGCGGGGUGGCAUGGAGGUGGGCUCUGUUUUCUUUGCGGGGCUGGCCACUAGGAGCUUGACCAUGCUGCAGUGAGUACAUGGGCCACACAAACUGGACUUGUUUCAUUUUUGUUGUUGUUAUUGAUGGAUUUUUUUUCUCUUUUCUUUGGGCAAGGUGACAGGGUGAGGUGGGCUACUGUGGGGCUGGAAAGACUGGGAAGUUGAUGGGGUGCAUUAUUUGAAACUCUCAAAUAAUCAAUAAAAAUGUUAUGUUG
rnacentral:lncRNA from 1 species